UAGGGAAUCUUCCGCAAUGGGCGAAAGCCUGACGGAGCAACGCCGCGUGAGUGAUGAAGGUCUUCGGAUCGUAAAACUCUGUUAUUAGGGAAGAACAAAUGUGUAAGUAACUAUGCACGUCUUGACGGUACCUAAUCAGAAAGCCACGGCUAACUACGUGCCAGCAGCCGCGGUAAUACGUAGGUGGCAAGCGUUAUCCGGAAUUAUUGGGCGUAAAGCGCGCGUAGGCGGUUUUUUAAGUCUGAGGUGAAAGCCCACGGCUCAACCGUGGAGGGUCAUUGGAAACUGGAAAACUUGAGUGCAGAAGAGGAAAGUGGAAUUCCAUGUGUGGCGGUGAAAUGCGCAGAGAUAUGGAGGAACACCAGUGGCGAAGGCGACUUUCUGGUCUGUAACUGACGCUGAUGUGCGAAAGCGUGGGGAUCAAACAGG
rnacentral:rRNA from 1 species